rnacentral:rRNA from 1 species
AUACGGAGGGUGCGAGCGUUAAUCGGAAUUACUGGGCGUAAAGCGUGCGUAGGCGGUUGAUUUAGUCAGAUGUGAAAGCCCCGGGCUCAACCUGGGAACUGCAUUUGAAACUGGUCAACUGGAGUAUGUUAGAGGGGGGUAGAAUUUCUGGUGUAGCGGUGAAAUGCGUAGAUAUCAGAAGGAAUACCGAUGGCGAAGGCAGCCCCCUGGACCAGUACUGACGCUGAGGUACGAAAGCGUGGGGAGCAAACAGAAUUAGAAACCCCGGUAGUCC